ensembl:snRNA U6 U6 spliceosomal RNA
GUGCUCACUUCAACAGCACAUAUAUUAAAAUUGGGACGAUACAGAGAAGAUUAGAAUGGCCCCUGCGCAAGGAUGACAUGCAAAUUCGUGAAGCGUUCCAUAUUUUC